UACGAAGGGUGCAAGCGUUACUCGGAAUUACUGGGCGUAAAGCGUGCGUAGGCGGUUUGUUAAGUCCGCUGUGAAAGCCCUGGGCUCAACCUGGGAAUUGCAGUGGAUACUGGCAAGCUAGAGUGCGGUAGAGGAUGGUGGAAUUCCCGGUGUAGAGGUGAAAUUCGUAGAUAUCGGGAGGAACACCGGUGGCGAAGGCGGCGACCUGGGUGGAUACUGACGCUGAGGUGCGAAAGCGUGGGGAGCAAACAGG
rnacentral:rRNA from 1 species